rnacentral:rRNA from 1 species
CCUACGGGAGGCAGCAGUGGGGGAUAUUGCACAAUGGGGGGAACCCUGAUGCAGCGACGCCGCGUGGGUGAAGAAGCGCCUCGGCGCGUAAAGCCCUGUCAGCAGGGAAGAAAAUGACGGUACCUGAAGAAGAAGCCCCGGCUAACUACGUGCCAGCAGCCGCGUGAAUACGUAGGGGGCAGGCGUUAUCCGGAUUUACUGGGUGUAAAGGGGGCGCAGACGGCGAUGCAAGCCAGGAGUGAAAGCGCGGGGCCCAACCCCGGGACUGCGCGUGGAACUGCGUGGCUGGAGUGCAGGAGGGGCAGGCGGAAGUCCGGGUGUAGCGGUGAAAUGCGUAGAUAUCAGGAGGAACACCGGGGGCGAAGGCGGCCCGCUGGACCGCAACUGACGUUGAGGCCCGAAAGCGUGGGGAGCAAACAGGAAUAGAUACCCCUGUAGUC